UGGGAAUCUUGCACAAUGGGCGAAAGCCUGAUGCAGCAACGCCGCGUGCGGGAAGACAGCCCUAGGGUUGUAAACCGCUUUCAGCAGGGAAGAAACUGACGGUACCUGCAGAAGAAGAUGCGGCCAACUACGUGCCAGCAGCCGCGGUGACGACGUAGGCAUCAAGCGUUAUCCGGAUUUAUUGGGCGUAAAGAGCUCGUAGGCGGUUCGGUAAGUCGGGUGUGAAAACUCUGGGCUCAACCCAGAGAGGCCACUCGAUACUGCUGUGACUAGAGUGCGGUAGGGGAGCGGGGAAUUCCUGGUGUAGCGGUGAAAUGCGCAGAUAUCAGGAGGAACACCAGUGGCGAAGGCGCCGCUCUGGGCCGUAACUGACGCUGAGGAGCGAAAGCAUGGGUAGCAAACAGGAUUAGAUACCCUGGUAGUCCAUGCCGUAAACGUUGGGCACUAGGUG
rnacentral:rRNA from 1 species